UGGACUGCCUGGAAUUGGGGUGGACUUGUGCUUUAGCAAAAGAAAGAGACCCAAAUAAAAAUCACAAGCAGACAAACCCUAACUCCUGCCCUGAGAGCAGCCGGGGAG